rnacentral:lncRNA from 1 species
CCGCCUUUCACAUAUUUUGUUUGUUUGUAUGAAUUCUGCAUUUUUUCAUUACGACUAGUUUCUUGAGACAUUUUUCCCGAACACACCUAACCCAGUCAGGUGCACUGAAGUGUCUUCCCUUUUUUCCCUGAAACCACCAGGAAUAGGGGUAAAUGGCAACACAGUUUAUCAAUAGAAAUAAUCAAUAGUAUCUUCGAACUGAAAUCUAGUUAAGCAUCAACAAUUUAUCAUGAAAUAAAUUAUCCAACUCAUCGAAUAUACGAAUACAUUAUAGGUC